UAGUGUGAGAAGAUGUUGGUUUAUUCAGUCAUUUGAAUGAAAACCUAAGCUUGAGGAAAUAUUUUUACUGAAAAAAUAUUUCCUCAAGC